rnacentral:rRNA from 1 species
UACGUAGGGACCAAGCGUUGUUCGGAUUUACUGGGCGUAAAGGGCGCGUAGGCGGCGCGUUAAGUCACUUGUGAAAUCUCUGAGCUUAACUCAGAACGGCCAAGUGAUACUGCAGUGCUAGAGUGUGGAAGGGGCAAUCGGAAUUCUUGGUGUAGCGGUGAAAUGCGUAGAUAUCAAGAGGAACACCGGUGGCGAAGGCGGGUCUCUGGGCCGUAACUGACGCUGAGGAGCGAAAGCGUGGGGAGCGAACAGG